UCGGUGUCUUCCUCCAUUGACUUCGAAGAGGGCCACAAACUGUUUAGUACUCUGCAUCAUCCGUCAUUCCAGUAAAAUUUCUACUAUUUUUUAUAUCUCUAAAAGUCGUCAUCCUCAAUUUCAUUACUUGGCUGCAAAGUAUUUGGGAUUUUCCAAAACUACAUUCCUACAGUCAUCAUGGACCUGAAUGAUCUUAACAAGGUCUGGGAAGUCAAACCACUAAAGAAGGUACGGGAAGAUGAGGCAAAGGAAAUUCUUGAAAAAAUAGCAAAGCAAGUGCAACCAAUUAUGAGGAAAAGAAAGUGGAGAGUGAAGAUCCUUUCUGAAUUUUGUCCGCCCAAUCCAUCUCUUUUGGGGCUGAACAUUGGAGGAGGUGCUGAGAUUAAGCUUAGACUCCGGAGGCCAAACAAUGAGUGGGAUUUCUUCCCUUAUGAGCAGAUUCUUGAUACCAUGCUUCAUGAACUUUGCCAUAUCGAACACGGUCCUCAUAAUGCUGAUUUCUACAACCUUUUGGAUGAAAUUAGGAAGGAAUGUGAAGAACUUAUUGCCAAAGGCAUCGCUGGCACCGGGCAAGGAUUUGAUCUUCCUGGGAGACGAUUGGGUGGACUUUCCCGUCAACCUCCUUUGCAUGUAUUGCGUCAGAAAGCACUGGCUGCUGCGGAAAACAGAGCAAAACUUGAAGCAUUAUUGACCCAUGGGCCUAAGCGUCUUGGUGGUGAUAGCAGCAUUAGAGCUGUACUCAGUCCAGUUCAAGCAGCUGCUAUGGCUGCUGAAAGAAGAUUACAUGAUGAUGUAUGGUGUGGAUCUAAAUCAGCAGAGAGUGGUGGACCAUCUGGAGACUCCAAAGUGUCAGCUGUACAAGAUGAUAGAUUUGUCCAAACUUCAGCCAUUGGAUCUGUAUCACAGGGAAAGAAAGAUGGCGAACUAAUGUGGCAGUGCUCCUCAUGUACCUUACUAAAUCAGGUGGAGAACCUGCAUAAUUUUUCCAAGAAAUGGAGAUAUUCCAAUCUCCCAAGGGCAGAUUACUAAGAUUGAAAGUUUGAUGAAAAAGUACAAUUUCUAGAUCCUCAUGGGCAGUCAACAGGCAAUUGUAGUGAUCAGAAAGGGAAGUCACCUAUGCAGAGUGAAGAUAAUGGUUAAAUAGGCUUGCCAGCCAUUUUUGGAGACAGAAUUCACCUACCUAAUGGUAUCUACUCCAGUGAUUCACUAAAGGGCCAUGCGUUAAGGGUUGAAGAUGAAAACAUGUCUCGACAGUGAAUCUGAUUCUGGGGAAUCAAUAAUAUGCUACGGAACUAUUGAAAAAUCUGAAGACACUGAUGAGGGUUGUCUUGCCGAAGAUAUAGAAAGCUCUUAUUCAAGUGAGCAUUUGUGAGGAAAUAAUUCAUGUGGUGCCCCAUGGGACGCUUCCCAUCGGCAAUAGUCACUAGCUCUUACAUGUGAAGCUCGUGGAACCCCAAAGAAUAGAGGCAACGGAGACAAGAAGUUAAAGGUCUGGUCUUGCAAGUUUUGUACCCUGGAUAAUAGCAUUGAGGUUGAGAGAU